rnacentral:rRNA from 1 species
UACGUAGGGUGCAAGCGUUGUCCGGAAUUUAUUGGGCGUAAAGGGCUCGUAGGCGGUUUGUCGCGUCGGGAGUGAAAACCAGGUGCUUAACACCUGGCUUGCUUUCGAUACGGGCAGACUAGAGGUAUGCAGGGGAGAACGGAAUUCCUGGUGUAGCGGUGAAAUGCGCAGAUAUCAGGAGGAACACCGGUGGCGAAGGCGGUUCUCUGGGCAUGACCUGACGCUGAGGAGCGAAAAGUGUGGGGGAGCGAACAGG